UCGCCGAACUUCGAAGGCUUUACACCAACGUCGAAGGUUCUGAGAACAUUUCUCCUUUAUCCCGAAGCAAAGGCAUAUCACUCUGCAACCCAAAGGGUAGUAAACAUUAAACAGUACAAGAGAUGACCAUAUAAAACAUUCAAUGGGCAUACCCAACACUAACUUGAGAAGAAAGAUUUAGUUAUCAUCAGAGAAAUGAGAGGUUCAUGGUUCGAAUCAAAAUGGAUCCAGAUAAUUUAUCAACACGGAAAAAUGUUGUAAUAUACAGUGAAAUUGGUCUGGAUGUGUCACCAUCAUCAUCACUGGAUGACAGUCCCUCAAAAAGUGAGGGGAUUUCUUGUGAUCCUCAUGAAGCUCCUUUUGAAUCUCCAACCAUUAUCCUUCAGUACAAAUGCAUCAAAACUAUUGAGGAGCUAGUUUCAAAUACCAUGAAGCUUCCACUUUUAUCUAGUUCAUAUUCUUCCAGUG